UACGGAAGGGGCAAGCGUUGUUCGGAAUCAUUGGGCGUAAAGCGCGCGUAGGCGGCUCGAUCAGUCUGCUGUAAAAGUCAAAGGCUCAACCUUUGAAUGCCGGUGGAUACUGUCGGGCUAGAGUCCGGAAGAGGCGAGUGGAAUUCCUGGUGUAGCGGUGGAAUGACGCAGAUAUCAGGAGGAACACCAACGGCGAAGGCAGCUCGCUGGGACGGUACUGACGCUAAGGCGCGAAAGCGUGGGGAGCGAACGAGG
rnacentral:rRNA from 1 species